UACGAAGGGGGCUAGCGUUGCUCGGAAUCACUGGGCGUAAAGCGCACGUAGGCGGAUUCCUAAGUCGGUGGUGAAAUCCUGGAGCUCAACUCCAGAACUGCCUUCGAUACUGGAGAGCUUGAGUCCGGGAGAGGUGAGUGGAACUGCGAGUGUAGAGGUGAAAUUCGUAGAUAUUCGCAAGAACACCAGUGGCGAAGGCGGCUCACUGGCCCGGUACUGACGCUGAGGUGCGAAAGCGUGGGGAGCAAACAGG
rnacentral:rRNA from 1 species